rnacentral:rRNA from 1 species
UACGUAGGGGGCGAGCGUUAUCCGGAAUUAUUGGGCGUAAAGAGCGUGUAGGCGGUUCGGUAAGUCUACUGUGAAAUCCUGGGGCUCAACCCUGGGCGUGCGGCGGAGACUGCCGGGCUAGAGGAUGGUAGAGGCGAGUGGAAUUCCGAGUGUAGCGGUGAAAUGCGCAGAUAUUCGGAGGAUCACCAGUAGCGAAGGCGGCUCGCUGGGCCAUACCUGACGCUGAGGCGCGAAAGCGUGGGGAGCGAACAGG